rnacentral:rRNA from 1 species
GACAGAGGGUGCAAACGUUGUUCGGAAUUACUGGGCGUAAAGCGUGUGUAGGCGGCUACGCAAGUCGGAUGUGAAAGCCCCGGGCUCAACCCGGGAAGUGCACCCGAAACUGCGUGGCUCGAGUACCGGAGAGGUUGGUGGAAUCCUCGGUGUAGAGGUGAAAUUCGUAGAUAUCGAGAGGAACACCGGUGGCGAAGGCGGCCAACUGGACGAGUACUGACGCUGAGACACGAAAGCGUGGGGAGCAAACAGG